GAUUAUGGCUCAGGAUGAACGCUGGCGGCGUGCCUAAUACAUGCAAGUCGUACGAGGUUAAUCCAGCUUGCUGGAGAGACCUAGUGGCGAACGGGUGAGUAAUACGUAAGUAACCUGCCAGCAAGGACUGGGAUAACACCUGGAAACGGGCGCUAAUACCGGAUAGGUAACAGAGGGGCAUCCACUGUUAUUAAAGGUUAAAGACACAAGCAGAUGGGCUUACGGUGCAUUAGCUAGUUGGUGAGGUAACGGCCCACCAAGGCGAUGAUGCAUAGCCGGCCUGAGAGGGUGAACGGCCACAUUGGGACUGAGACACGGCCCAGACUCCUACGGGAGGCAGCAGUAGGGAAUUUUCGGCAAUGGGCGCAAGCCUGACCGAGCAACGCCGCGUGAGUGAAGAAGAAUUUCGGUUCGUAAAGCUCUGUUGUAAGGGAAGAAUAACACGGAGAGAAUCCGUGCAUGACGGUACCUUACCAGAAAGCCACGGCUAACUACGUGCCAGCAGCCGC
rnacentral:rRNA from 1 species